GACGAACGCUGGCGGCGUGCCUAAUACAUGCAAGUCGAACGCAGUGGGGACGGGUGAGUAACACGUGGGUAACCUCCCAUCAGAGGGGAUAACACUUGGAAACAGGUGCUAAACCGAUACUGAUGGAUGGACCCGCGGUGCAUUAGCUAGUUGGUGAGGUAACGGCUCACCAAGGCCACGAUGGAUAGCCGACCUAGGAGGGUGAUCGGCCCACCUGGGACUGGAACCCGGCCCAAACUCCUACGGGAGGCAGCAGUAGGGAAGCUUCGGCAAUGGACGAAAAUCUGACCGAGCAACGCCGCGUGAGUGAAGAAGGUUUUCGGAUCGUAAAGCUCUAUUGUUAGAGAAGCGGUAUCUAACCAGAAAGCCACGGCUAACUGCGUGCCAACAGCCGCGGUAAUAC
rnacentral:rRNA from 1 species